rnacentral:pre_miRNA from 1 species
GUGUUGACAGAAGAUAGAGAGCACAGAUGAGAAGAUACAAUUCUUCGCAGCUUCUUUGCAUCUUACUCCUUUGUGCUCUCUAAGCUUCUGUCAUCAC